rnacentral:tRNA from 1 species
CGGAGUGUGGCGCAGUUGGUAGCGCGCUGCGUUUGGGGCGCAGAGGUCUCCAGUUCAAAUCUGGAUACUCCGA